AAACGUGCAUUGUAGAGUCCUUAGUCCAUGGUCGGGUAACGGGGUGUUAAAGUUGUCGUAGGAUGGAGUCGGUCUGGUAAGAUGCGUCAGUUAAGUCUAGGGUUUGACGUGUGUGACAAUGAGUGAGAUCAUUGUAUUGAUUGAUCAUUAGGUUGCUAGAAAUGUUUGGAAUUAAUGAUGACGAUAGAAAAUGAUAAGAUGCAUUAACUGAUUGUAGUGGCUAGUCAGUCCUAGUUCCCGCAUAGAGUAGUAUAGAGUGCCAUGCGGGCAGGCUGGUCUAGAGUCACUUCACUGAGUAACUUAUUGCUCAUUCCUCCAUUUCCAUUUUCCUGUGCGCAUGACUGUAAGUAGAAGUAUAUGGAUGUGGGUGUGACGGUAUUUCAAAGAAGGUUAUGCGUCCGUCGAAUCUUGGGACCAGUAACGGGACACGUAGGGUUGUCUAAAUGAGUAGACACGUGUCCAUAACGCCCUUUCGAUAAUUCCGGUGGGACACCAGGGGAUCGGGCCGUUACAAUUGGUAUCAGAGCGGGUUAAGAUCCCUUAGUUCUGUCCUAAGGGAUCAGCAUUUCCGACGUUUUCAAAAAAAAAAAAAAAAAAACUCGUUUUCGGAAAAAAAAAAAAAAUUUGAUUGCGAAUAUUACUAAGUAUUUUCGGAUUGUGAAAAUAUUAUUUGAAAAUUCCACUAUAUCCAAACUUUUAUUAUGGUUCUGAUUGAACUUUUAUUGCAGGAUGUUUUCGCUUGACCAUUAUGAGUGGAGGAUGCCGCGUACGCACUACGGACGGAGGAACACCAGAGAGUAUGCCCAAAGGCGUCACCAUGACAUGGAGGGUAACUUGGUGCUACCCAUUUUCCCGGAUCCUGAAGAUCAGUACAGGGAGUUUCCAUUCAGGUACCCGUACGAGCAGACUGUGAGGCGUAAAGUGUUGAUGCCACACUUCCAGAGGAUGGCUAUGGAGGAACGCAUACUGCAGGGCAAUGCGAGGUUCCAGCUUGCAACGAAGAGGGGCCUCUGAGGAUGCGUGGUCGUCCAUGCAAGCCGCCAAGUGCAGCGGGGGGACCCCCAAGGGUGUUCACCGGGAAGUGCCAGUGUGGAGUGCUGAUCAAGAAUGCUUAGGAGGACCGAUCAGUCGCUGGAUACACCGAGGACUUCAUCAACCAAGCCAAGCUGUGCAAGCUAAAGAAUGCAGAGACAUGGUGCGUAUAGUAUAAGAACGGGCUUCGCAAGGAAAUCCAGGCGCAGUUGAGGGGUGUUUUGGAGCCCUGGAGUUCGCGCUAGUGAGGCGGAUGGCAGGUUUCGCCAUGGAGGCUGAGGAGAAGAUUGCUGCCAAUGUGGCCGCUCUCUCGAGCAUGGAAGGAGGGAACCCGGGUAAGGACGCCGAAGGCCAGGAGGUGCUGGUCGGAGAACUCGCUAAGGGAAAGCGGGGACGUCCGCGGAAACCUCCUACACUGACAUGUGAUUGUGAUGUACUGGUCCAGAUGGUUCAGAAGCCACGCAAGGUGAGAGAUUACCUGGAGGAGUUCUUGGAUACGGCCAGGAGGUGCCAACCGAAGCCAGCAGAGGAGUGGUGUCAUCUGUUUAGGGCUGGACUACGUGGAGAUAUUCGCGAAGAGCUCGUGGGGGUUCUGGAGCCUCUGGAAUUUGCACUGGUGAAAAUAAUGGCCAACCAAGCACUACACGCAGAGGAGUUGUUGGCGGAAGGAGAGGCGGAGGCCGAGUAUGAUCGCCUCGCAGAGGGUGAUGAAGACCUUGGACAGGAGACCCGCUGUGCCUCGCCAUGUCAAUGUGGCUAGACGAGAUCCUAGGGACGAUUCGUAGGAGUAGGACACGUGUUUCGCUAUUGGUUUUUAUUUCAUUUAUUGGUUAUUGGAGUUGGUGUUCUUUCCAUUCUUUACGGCAUUCUGUGGUUGUGCAGAUGCGCUGAGUUUUCUUUUACAAACUAUUGUAGUCCUACUCCUUUUAUUUAUCUAUGACAUUCAUUCGGUGGUUUUAAAGAUUCCAGUAGAGUUAUCACGCCUUGUAUGCCUCCCUUGAUUGUUGUGUGAAUGUGUGAGUCCAUUUCGGCGACAAAUGAUAAGUCCAAAAGAUGGGGGCCUUGGAAUUCGGGGACGAAUUCCGAUUAACGGGGGAGGAUUGUAACGGCCCGGUUCCUGGCCCAUAAAUUUCUUUAGGAAUAUGGGAUUCUCUAUGGCCGAUUUGGAAAGACCUAGGGUUUUCUCUUCCUCUUUCCUAUAAAAAGGAGAUGCAGCCUCCCUUUUUGCCUCACUCAGAAACUGAAGCGAAGCUCUGCAGAGAAUUCCCGGAGACUAGAAACCCUAGCCGUCGAGCUCUCUCCCCUUCUCUCUUGCGCUGCCUCUCUCUCUCUCCUCGCCGUCACUCUCUCUCUCCUUGCCCCCGCACUCUCUCUCUCCUCGCCGGCGCCGUGUGGUGGUGGUGGUGACCAGAUCUCAACCUUCCCACAUCUUUGUUUCCAGAUCCAGAUCUAGACUAAGGUGGAGUGUCUUGAACCCAUCUUGUUCUCAUGUUCUGUAUACUCCUUUAUGUUGGAGUUAGGUUUGAUUAGACCCUGUUUGAGAGCUAGGAUGAUAGAACAUGGAUAUUACUAGGAUGAUAGAUGAAUGGAUCAUGAUGCAUAAGAACCCUCACACUGUUAAAUGGGACUUAAUGAACUGAAUCGAAUUGUUGUGGUGAUGAUUGAUUGGUAAUUGAUGCUUGUAUGUUUGGAUGUGUUGUCCCAUGAGUGGUUUGCGAUUAACGCUAGCAUGGUAGACAGAAGUGAAUGCUAGGUUGAUAGAUGAGAAAUGAAUGUUAAGGUUAUUGAGUAGAACUUGAGUUCGACGUGUAUUGUGUGUGACACCGAUAACGGGUGGCGUCUAGUGAAUGAGUAUAAGUACAAGUGUAAGUGAAAAAGGAAAGUGAAUGAAAAUGAGAAAGGAUAAGUAAAAGUGAUAAGGAUGUGAAAGAUGUAAGGAUAAGUGAAUGUAUAAGAGAAUAAUGUUAAGGUUAAGCAUGGGUUGGGAAAUCAUAUAGAGUCUAAGGAAAGUAUGUGUGGCAGUAGUUCCACGCUAGGUAUCCAUAGAAGAUGUGGCGAAUCCACAAGAAUAUGGAUGCACCCAUAGGAGAUGUGGCGAAUCCACAAGAAUAUGGGGUAGAAGCCUAGUAGGAGCUACCCACAGUGAUAAGAAACGAAGUGCCAACCGCGAGAGGCGGGAUAUAAAAACGUGCAUUGUAGAGUCCUUAGUCCAUGGUCGGGUAACGGGGUGUUAAAGUUGUUGUAGGAUGGAGUCGGUCUGGUAAGAUGCGUCAGUUAAGUCUAGGGUUUGACGUGUGUGACAAUGAGUGAGAUCAUUGUAUUGAUUGAUCACUAGGUUGCUAGAAAUGUUUGGAAUUAAUGAUGACGAUAGAAAAUGAUAAGAUGCAUUAACUGAUUGUAGUGGCUAGUCAGUCCUAGUUCCCGCAUAGAGUAGUAU
rnacentral:lncRNA from 1 species